CUUGCACUCACUUGAAAGAAGAGUGGCGGACGGGUGAGUAACACGUGGGUAACCUGCCCAUCAGAGGGGGAUAACACUUGGAAACAGGUGCUAAUACCGCAUAAUAGUCGACACCGCAUGGUGUUGAUUUGAAAGACGCUUUCGGGUGUCACUGAUGGAUGGACCCGCGGUGCAUUAGCUAGUUGGUGAGGUAACGGCUCACCAAGGCCAUGAUGCAUAGCCGACCUGAGAGGGUGAUCGGCCACACUGGGACUGAGACACGGCCCAGACUCCUACGGGAGGCAGCAGUAGGGAAUCUUCGGCAAUGGACGAAAGUCUGACCGAGCAACGCCGCGUGAGUGAAGAAGGUUUUCGGAUCGUAAAACUCUGUUGUUAGAGAAGAACAAGUGGGAGAGUAACUGCUCCCGCCUUGACGGUAUCUAACCAGAAAGCCACGGCUAACUACGUGCCAGCAGCCGCGGUAAUACGUAGGUGGCAAGCGUUGUCCGGAUUUAUUGGGCGUAAAGCGAGCGCAGGCGGUUUCUUAAGUCUGAUGUGAAAGCCCCCGGCUCAACCGGGGAGGGUCAUUGGAAACUGGGAGACUUGAGUGCAGAAGAGGAGAGUGGAAUUCCAUGUGU
rnacentral:rRNA from 1 species